CAUGCCUGGCUCCUUGUAUGCCAUUCAGCAAGUACAUCAAUAGCAGGUGGCCUUUGUGGAUGGCGUGCCAGGAGCCAGGCAUA
rnacentral:pre_miRNA from 1 species